AAAUCCCCGCAGGAUAAGGGUUAAGCCUGCUGGUGCGGAUGGGGUUACUCCCGCCUGGUUUCUUGUUUCCAGUCAAAGAACAAGUGGCGAGCCUGCUC
rfam:Synechococcus phage S-CAM3 isolate 1010CC42, complete genome.